UACAGGGGGUGCAAACGUUGCUCGGAAUCAUUGGGCGUAAAGCGCACGUAGGCGGUUCGUUAUGUCGGAUGUGAAGCCCUUGGCUUAACCGAGGAAGUGCAUCCGAAACUGGCGAGCUAGAGUACUAAAGAGGAUCGCGGAAUUCCCGGUGUAGAGGUGAAAUUCGUAGAUAUCGGGAGGAACACCGGUGGCGAAGGCGGCGAUCUGGGUAGAUACUGACGCUGAGGUGCGAAAGCGUGGG
rnacentral:rRNA from 1 species